rnacentral:rRNA from 1 species
GACGAACGCUGGCGGCGUGCCUAAUACAUGCAAGUAGAACGCUGAAGAGAGGAGCUUGCUCUUCUUGGAUGAGUUGCGAACGGGUGAGUAACGCGUAGGUAACCUGCCUUGUAGCGGGGGAUAACUAUUGGUAACGAUAGCUAAUACCGCAUAACAAUGGAUGACACAUGUCAUUUAUUUGAAAGGGGCAAUUGCUCCACUACAAGAUGGACCUGCGUUGUAUUAGCUAGUAGGUGAGGUAAUGGCUCACCUAGGCGACGAUACAUAGCCGACCUGAGAGGGUGAUCGGCCACACUGGGACUGAGACACGGCCCAGACUCCUACGGGAGGCAGCAGUAGGGAAUCUUCGGCAAUGGGGGCAACCCUGACCGAGCAACGCCGCGUGAGUGAAGAAGGUUUUCGGAUCGUAAAGCUCUGUUGUAAGUCAAGAACGGGUGUGAGAGUGGAAAGUUCACACUGUGACGGUAGCUUACCAGAAAGGGACGGCUAACUACGUG